AUAUUUACCGGAGGUAAAGCACUGAAUGGUAGCGGGGUCGAGAGACUACCAACACCUAUCAAACUCAGAAUGCCGGAUAAAUGAGUCCAGGAGUCAGACUACGUGAGAUAAGUCUCGUGGUCAAAAGGGAAACAGCCCAGACCUACAGCUAAGGUCCCCAAUAUAUGCUAAGUGGAGAAGGAUGUGACAUUACUAAGACAACUAGGACGUUGGCUUAGAAGCAGCCACUCAUUCAAAGAGUGCGUAAUAGCUCACUAGUCGAGCGAUGUUGCGCCGAAAAUUCAACGGGGCUAAGCAUAUAACCGAAGCUUAGGCAGUCACAGACUGGGUAGGGGAGCGUUCCGUACGGGCAGAAGCAUGAGCGAAAGCAGAUGUGGACUGUACGGAAGUGAGAAUGCCGGAAUGAGUAGCGAGAAUUGCGUGAGAAUCGUAAUGGCCGAAAAUCUAAGGUUUCCGGGGGUAGGUUCGUCCGCCCCGGGUUAGCCGGGAGCUAAGGCGAGGCCGAAAGGCGUAGUCGAUGCACAUACGGUAGAGAUUCCGUAGCCACUACAAUUUAAAUACACUGACACGAAUGCAGAGAUUGACCCGGCGAUUGGAUGUCGGGCGAAAGGGACUGAAAUGAUAGUAGGGAAGCAAUUGAAGCAGGCGGCGAGAAAAGGUGUAUGUAUAGAAGUAGUGCCCGUACCGCAAACCGACACAGGUAGAUGGGGAGAGAAUCCUAAGGCCAACGGGAGAAGGGUUGUUAAGGAAUUCGGCAAAAUGACCCCGUAACUUCGGAAGAAGGGGUGCCUGCGAAAGCAGGCCGCAGUGAAAAGGCCCAGGCAACUGUUUAACAAAAACACAGCUCUCUGCAAAACCGAAAGGUGACGUAUAGGGGGUGACGCCUGCCCGGUGCUGGAAGGUCAAGGGGAUUGCUUAGCGCAAGCGAAGGCAAGAACUUAAGCCCCAGUAAACGGCGGCCGUAACUAUAACGGUCCUAAGGUAGCGAAAUUCCUUGUCAGGUAAGUUCUGACCCGCACGAAUGGCGUAAUGAUCUGGGCACUGUCUCAACAGCCCGCCCGGCGAAAUUGUAGUACCGGUGAAGAUGCCGGUUACCUGCGACUAGACGGAAAGACCCCAUGGAGCUUUACUGUAGCCUGAUACUGAGAUUUGAUUCAUUAUGUACAGGAUAGGUGGGAGCCUGGGAAACGUGGGCGUCAGCUUGCGCGGAGGCAACCUUGGGAUACCACCCUUGAUGAAUUAAGUUUCUAACCUGCUCCCGUGAAUCCGGGAGGGGGACAAUGUCAGAUGGGCAGUUUGACUGGGGCGGUCGC
rnacentral:rRNA from 1 species